AAGUCGUAACAAGGUUUCCGUAGGUGAACCUGCGGAAGGAUCAUUAACGAGUUUUUGAAACGGGUUGUUGCUGGCUUCAAAACAGGAGCAUGUGCACGCCUGACUCAAUCCACUCUCAAACCCCUGUGCACUUAUUGUAGGCUUUGGUGAUUGAAGAGCUCGCAAGAGCUUGGAUAGAGCCUGGUCUAUGCUUUUACAAACGCUUCAGUUUAAGAAUGUAACUCGCGUAUAACGCAAUAAAUACAACUUUCAGCAACGGAUCUCUUGGCUCUC
rnacentral:misc_RNA from 1 species